rnacentral:rRNA from 1 species
GACGAACGCUGGCGGCAUGCCUAACACACGCAAGUCGAACGAGACCUUCGGGUCUAGUGGCGCACAGGUGCGUAACGCGUGGGAAUCUGCCCUUGGGUUCGGAAUAACUCGCCGAAAGGCGUGCUAAUACCGAAUGAUGUCGUAAGACCAAAGACUUAUCGCCCAGGGAUGAGCCCGCGUAAGAUUAGGUAGUUAGUGAGGUAAAGGCUCACCAAGCCGACGAUCUUUAGCUGGUCUGAGAGGAUGAUCAGCCACACUGGGACUGAGACACGGCCCAG